rnacentral:rRNA from 1 species
AUACGGAGGAUGCAAGCGUUAUCCGGAUUUAUUGGGUUUAAAGGGUGCGUAGGCGGAUGAUUAAGCGUGAGGUGAAAUGCCACUGCUCAACAGUGGAACUGCCUCGCGAACUGGUUGUCUUGAAUGCUCCUGCCGUGGGAGGAAUGUGUGGUGUAGCGGUGAAAUGCAUAGAGAUCACACAGAACACCGAUUGCGAAGGCAUCUCACGAAGGGGUGAUUGACGCUGAGGCACGAAAGCGUGGGGAUCAAACAGGAUUAGAUACCCUGGUAGUCCACGCAGUAAACGAUGAUAACUAACCGCUGGGUCGUAGUGAUUCAGUGGCCAAGCGAAAGCGAUAAGUUAUCCACCUGGGGAGUACGACCACAAGGUUGAAACUCAAAGGAAUUGACGGGG